rnacentral:rRNA from 2 species
UACGGGAGGCGGCAGUGGGGAAUUUUGGAGAAUGCACAAGGCCUGUCCAGCAAGGCGCGCCGGGAUGAAGGGCUCGGGUUGUAAACUGCU